rnacentral:lncRNA from 1 species
CUAGACUCUUAAUUUACUCAGAAAACUGGGAGGGGGAGCUGGGUAGUUCAGUGGAUUGAGAACCAGACCAAGAGAUGAGAGGUCCUGGAUUAAAAUUUGGCCAUAGACACUUCUUAGCUGUGUGACCUUGGGCAAGUCACUUAACCCCCCAUUGCCUAGAAUUUGCCACUCUUCUGCCUUAGAAACAACACACAGUAUUAAUUCUAAGACAGAAGGUGAGGGUUUAAAAAAAAAGAAAACAAUGUGAGCUUCUUCUUUUCUCUGCUUUCUUUCUCUCUCUCUCUCUCUUUCUUUCUUUCUUUCUUUCUUUCUUUCUUUCUUUCUUUCUUUCUUUCUUUCUUUCUUUCUUUUCUUUUCUUUUCUUUUCUUUUCCUUCUUUCCCUUUCUGUCUCUUUUUUCUCUCUUGCUUUCUUUCUCCAGUGGAGCCUGAAUUAACAACAGCUCAAACCCCCUCCAGGUUUACAGUUGCACGGCUUAUUGUGUAUAUAUCCUCCAAAACCGAAAACCAUAUGGAGAAUUCGGCUUUCUUGAUUUUUUCCCUCUUUUCUGUGUGUACCAGGAAGUAGUAAAAUGUUUUGAGAUGCUAUUAAAGUCUUUAAGUUACAAAAUUGAGAUUCCACCUUAAAAAAUUUUCCAUACUGUACUUUGCAUUGCCUGGGG